rnacentral:snRNA from 1 species
ACCACUUCUCAGCCUUUUGGCUAAGAUCGGGUGUAGUAUCUGUUCUUAUCAGUUUAAUAUCUGAUACGUGCCCUACCCCUUGUACUGUGUAAUGUGUGUUCGGGGUUAAAAUGCAUGUAAAUAAAACUGAGAAGAAUGAAAAAGAAUUUUCAUUAAUAAAGUAGAUUAAUAAAGUAUCUCUUACACGUGAGAGUGAAUUACUCAAGACGAUGUUGCUGUAUCUGUCUUGACGUGC